GACAGAGGAUGCAAGCGUUAUCCGGAAUGAUUGGGCGUAAAGCGUCUGUAGGUGGCUUUUUAAGUCUGCCGUCAAAUCCCAGGGCUUAACCCUGGACAGGCGGUGGAAACUACCAAGCUGGAGUACGGUAGGGGCAGAGGGAAUUUCCGGUGGAGCGGUGAAAUGCGUAGAUAUCGGGAAGAACACCAAUGGCGAAAGCACUCUGCUGGGCCGUAACUGACACUGAGAGACGAAAGCUAGGGGAGCAAACAGG
rnacentral:rRNA from 1 species